GGUGUCUGAGAUCAAGGAAAAAGCUUUCCUUAAGCCGGGCUGCCUGCCGUGUGCGCAGAGCUCCGUGUCCCUGUCUGUGUAUGUGUCCGUGUCCAUGUCCGUGUCCGUGUCCGUGCCCGUGCCCGUGUCCGUGUCCCUGUCCCCGUCCGUGUCCGUGUCCGUGCCCAUUCCCGUGUCCCCGUCCGUGUCCCUGUCCCCGUCCGUGUCCCCGCCGUGUCCCCG
rnacentral:lncRNA from 12 species